CGCGGGAUGGAGCAGUCUGGUAGCUCGUCGGGCUCAUAACCCGAAGGUCGUCGGUUCAAAUCCGGCUCCCGCAACCU
rnacentral:tRNA from 3 species